GUUCCUUUGGAUGGAAGGACUUGCAUUUUGAUAAUCAAGACGUCGUAAACAUCACGAAAACUUGACAUUCUGCACUGAUACAUAUGUGUUUAGACGCACCUAAUUGCGGGUGUUAUAGUGAGGGUAUAUUGGAUAAGUAAAGAAAUUUUGCCUUGCAACAGGCCACCUACGGACCCCUCAAAGAGUUGUUGAAAGGGUUCUUAACGUGCAAAAAGCGGUGGUGUAGUGGUUAG
rnacentral:lncRNA from 1 species